rnacentral:misc_RNA from 1 species
UUUUAUAAUACUCUGUUGGAAAUUUACUUACACGUUUCUAUUUGUUUUUCCCCCUCUCAUUGGAUGGAUUUAGUAGUCUGUGGUGGUUAUUUUCUUUGUUAAUUUUCCUGGAAAAUGUAUGAUCUAAGUAUUUGAACCCAUGUGGUGAAUUGGGUAUUUUUUUUUAAUUUUUUAUGUUUGACCUUUCUGGGUUUGAAGCAGUGUCGCUUGCGUAAAGAACUGCGGAUUUAUUUCUUUGUUUUGUAUUUUUCCCCUCUUAGGCAAGUACGUGUAUUUUUGUACUGGUUUUGCUUUCAAUAGCAAUGAAUCUGUUUUUAGUUCUUCUCCCUUCAAAAUGAAUGUUAUUAUCAUAUAUAUUUUGUACGGGUGAACUGUAUCAUGAAUAGGUAUAAUGUACACUUUGUUUUAGCGAAACAUGUAGGAGCUGUCAGAGUUUAUGGUGAUGGAUUAGCGGGUUUAUUGUCAGUUGUUAGAAUUUAUAUGUAUUAAGGGUUAAUUACUUGAUAUGCAGCAAAUUCAGGACUUGAAUGUGAGCUUGCUUUUUUCCGCUGUUUUGGGG